GACGAACGCUGGCGGCGUGCUUAACACAUGCAAGUCGAACGGAAAGGCCCUGCUUUUGUGGGGGGCUCGAGUGGCGAACGGGUGAGUAACACGUGAGUAACCUGCCCUUGACUUUGGGAUAACUUCAGGAAACUGGGGCUAAUACCGGAUAGGAGCUCCUGCUGCAUGGUGGGGGUUGGAAAGUUUCGGCGGUUGGGGAUGGACUCGCGGCUUAUCAGCUUGUUGGUGGGGUAGUGGCUUACCAAGGCUUUGACGGGUAGCCGGCCUGAGAGGGUGACCGGCCACAUUGGGACUGAGAUAGGGCCCAGACUCCUACGGGAGGCAGCAGUGGGGAAUAUUGCACAAUGGGCGGAAGCCUGAUGCAGCAACGCCGCGGGCGGGAUGACGGCCUUCGGGUUGUAAACCGCUUUCGCCUGUGACGAAGCGUGAGUGACGGUAAUGGGUAAAGAAGCACCGGCUAACUACGUG
rnacentral:rRNA from 1 species